rnacentral:lncRNA from 1 species
ACCUAGGGUGAAGUGCUCAUGCAUCCACCCAUUCCAUUGGAUUUUAUUCCAUUUGUUUUUAGCUUCUAGGAAUGUAAAACAACUGUACACCAAGGUUUUAUUAUUAUUCGUUUCCAAUUUCUAUUAAUUUGGUUUACUGUUAUGUGUUUCAAUUAAUUUUUGUUUCCUGCUUCUUGUUCAAUCCAAUUUCAUUUACCGAUUCUUGCCUCUGAUAUAUUUAUAUUUCGUUUUCCAAUUGUGUUUCAUUUUCUUUCUUUCAAUUUCCUUUUCAUUCUUCUCUUUUCGUUUAACUGUUGCUAUUGUUUCAUUUUGCCCCUUCCAAACCUUGUUAUUCAAUGAACGAAAUGCUUCAUUUU